rnacentral:rRNA from 1 species
UACGUAGGGUGCGAGCGUUAAUCGGAAUUAUUGGGCGUAAAGAGCUCGUAGGCGGUCUGUUGCGUCGGCUGUGAAAACCUGGGGCUCAACUCCGGGCCUGCAGCCGAUACGGGCAGACUAGAGUUCGGCAGGGGAGACUGGAAUUCCUGGUGUAGCGGUGAAAUGCGCAGAUAUCAGGAGGAACACCGGUGGCGAAGGCGGGUCUCUGGGCCGAUACUGACGCUGAGGAGCGAAAGCGUGGGGAGCGAACAGG